rnacentral:rRNA from 1 species
ACGGGGACCCGCACAAGCGGUGGAUGAUGUGGAUUAAUUCGAUGCAACGCGAAGAACCUUACUACCCUUGACAUGUCCGGAACUUGCCAGAGAUGGCUUGGUGCCCGAAAGGGAAUCGGAACACAGGUGCUGCAUGGCUGUCGUCAGCUCGUGUCGUGAGAUGUUGGGUUAAGUCCCGCAACGAGCGCAACCCUUAUCAUUAGUUGCUACGCAAGGGCACUCUAAUGAGACUGCCGGUGACAAACCGGAGGAAGGUGGGGAUGACGUCAAGUCCUCAUGGCCCUUAUGGGUAGGGCUUCACACGUCAUACAAUGGUCGGUACAGAGGGUUGCCAAGCCGCGAGGCGGAGCCAAUCCCACAAAGCCGAUCGUAGUCCGGAUUGUUCUCUGCAACUCGAGAGCAUGAAGUCGGAAUCGCUAGUAAUCGCAGGUCAGCAUACUGCGGUGAAUACGUUCCCGGGUCUU